CACCUGGGGAGAGGACAGAAGCACAACUGCCAUGUGCCUCAGGAAGAGGACAGCAAGGACUUCCACCCUCAGGUCAGCCUGGAUACUGCAGCUGCGGGGUGUCCUGUGCUCCGUGGCAGAACCAGCCGGAGCAGCAGGCUCAUCAAGGGGGCUGAAGAGUACAUAAGCAUUGGAGACUGUACAAGCUAUCCCCAAGGGAUACAUCCGUCUCAGACACAGGAGUGGCUGAGAUUCCUGCUCUGUACAAUCCCACAGAGAGUGUUUCUCCUGCAGUGGCUGUACACCAGUCCCCAGAUGCAGGAUGCGCUCUGCAGUUACCUGGUAAGUAAGCUGUGCUCCAGCGAGAUGUCAGGGCCCUGUGGCCCAGCCCUGUCUCAAUGGCAACAUCACACCUUCUCCUCACAGUCUCCAGCAUUUUCACUGUCUCCCUACUCUGUUUUGCCUGUCACGAUAAUUGUUGAGCAAUCUCCCCGUCCUUAUCUCAACCCUCAAGCCCUUUGCAUCCUCUUUUCUCCCUGUUCCUCUUGGAGGAGGGGGAGUGAGAGAGCGGUUGUGGUGGAGCUCAGCUGCCCACCCGAGUAAAACCAUCCCAGAAGCGCAUGUUGAGAACUGCUUUGGAGAGCAGUUUUCCAAAGAU
rnacentral:lncRNA from 1 species